rnacentral:rRNA from 1 species
AUUGAACGCUGGCGGCAUGCCUAACACAUGCAAGUCGAACGGGGCAGCAAUGCCUAGUGGCGGACGGGUGAGGAAUACGUAGGGAUCUGCCCUUAAGUGGGGGAUAACCAGGGGAAACCCUGACUAAUACCGCAUGAUCUCUUCGGAGCAAAGAGGGGGACCGCAAGGCCUCUCGCUUCAGGAUGAGCCUACGUCUGAUUAGCUAGUUGGUAGGGUAAAGGCCUACCAAGGCGACGAUCAGUAACUGGUCUGAGAGGAUGAUCAGUCACACCGGAACUGAGACACGGUCCGGACUCCUACGGGAGGCAGCAGUGGGGAAUAUUGGACAAUGGGCGCAAGCCUGAUCCAGCAAUGCCGCGUGUGUGAAGAAGGCCUUCGGGUUGUAAAGCACUUUAGCCUGGAAAGAAAAAACUUUGGUUAACACCCAAAGUCUUGACGGUACCAGGAGAAUAAGCACCGGCUAACUCUGUGCCAGCAGCCGCCGUAAUAC